rnacentral:lncRNA from 10 species
UAGGUCUUGAGAAUGUCACAGACAAUUUUACUGAGGAAACUGCAAUCGGUAACAUGAGUUUGAUCCUCGGCAGAAAAUUCUGAAAGCAAGAUGUAGGUAGAAAUCUUUGGCAUCUAAGCAACAAUUCAGGAAAGGUGACCAACGUUAAUUACAAGUAAACAAAUUUUAUUUCCCAGCCUCUCUCAAUGGAGAGUUACUUGAACAGUAUUUAUUUUUCAAAAGACUGGAAAUAGAUGCAGAUGGCUGAGGCUCCAACCCUGAUUUGUCCAUUACCUUUUUGCAUGUUUUGUGCAAAUCCACAGCCUUAUGAUUAUCACUGUUCUUACUGGAAUUAUUAGCAAAUAGUUUUGUAAUUUCUAUUAUCCAAAUAUCUUAUCACCUGAUCCUUGCCUAACACUUCCGUUUCACCCCUUCUGCUCCUUUCUUGCCCAUGCCCUUCCCAUCCUACAAACCACAUAUGUAGCUUCUGAUACUGAAAUAUUCUCUGUGCUCCUGCUCCAAGAGACAUCAAGAGUACUUGUUUCAUAGUAGCUCAAGUAUUCUUUGGUGCUUUAUUAUUUGUUAGCAAUGACAUGUUCCUGUUUAGGAAUUCUGCUGCUCCAUUUUGCACUCUGAAUCUAUUACUGUGUGAGCGUAUUUUUCAAAUUCUACUUUAUGAAUAUGUAUGAUGAAAGGUAUUUGAUAGAGUACUUGCACGUGUAAAUUAUUGCAUAAUUGUUGAGAAAUUAAUGAAAAUUUUAUUUAAAAUGUUCCUGUUGCCUAGAAACAGCAUAGAUGCCGAAAAGUACUUCUCCCAAGUUUGUAUUGAACAACUGAGAGAUGUAUGUGAAUUCGUUUCUUUCCAUUAAAAGAAUUAAAUGUGUAGAAGACCUAAAGAAAGGAAGUCUCUUUUGUUUUUAUUGUGAAUGA